rnacentral:rRNA from 1 species
GGCGAACGCUGGCGGCGUGCUUAACACAUGCAAGUCGAACGGAAAGGCCUGCUUUCCCUUGUGGAUUGCGGGUACUCGAGUGGCGAACGGGUGAGUAACACGUGAGUGAUCUGCCCCCAACUUGGGUAUAAGCCUGGGAAACUGGGUCUAAUUCCCGAUAGGACUGCAGGGUGGUGCCUGUGGUGGAAAACGAUUUUCUAGUGGUUGGGGAUGAGCUCGCGGCCUAUCAGCUUGUUGGUGGGGUAAUGGCCUACCAAGGCGGCGACGGGUAGCCGGCCUGAGAGGGUGGACGGCCACAUUGGGACUGAGAUACGGCCCAGACUCCUACGGGAGGCAGCAGUGGGGAAUAUUGCACAAUGGGCGGAAGCCUGAUGCAGCGACGCCGCGUGGGGGAUGACGGCCUUCGGGUUGUAAACUCCUUUCGACUGCGAGGAAGCCACCUGGUUGGAAGGGUGGUGACGGUAGUGGUAGAAGAAGCACCGGCUAACUACGUG